rnacentral:lncRNA from 1 species
AUCAGCAGUGCUUUGGGAGCAAACAUUCACCCAGUGCCUGCGAUGUGCCUGGCACCCGCAUGUGCUCAGUACAUGUUUCUUUUAAAAAGAAUGAAUUAAGGCCAAGAGAAAGGCACAGGCCCUAUCUGCUUCGUGUCUGGGGACACUCCAUGAGGUGGGGACACCCUAGGAAAGCCUCUGGUCCUCUGCUGGUCCCUCCGGUCCUGGGUCUGGAGUUUCCCUGAGAGAGGAUGAGAGAAGACGAGGAGGCCGUCACAGCCGACACCGUGGGGAGGAGGCGUGUAGAUCCUAGAACUGAACUAGUUGAGCAACUCAUCUCUGACCUGCUCUGCUGGCCUGGAGAAAUGAAUACACUGAGGCCUCUCCCCUGCCCCUUCACGACUUACCUGAGGCUUCCAUCUGUUCAGUCUUGAUUUAUCAGGCUGCCUGCUGGUCCUCUCUACUCCGACGUCUUACAACCUCCUGGGCAACAUGUCUCAAAAGGAACCCAUCAUCCACUUCUCCUCCACCUGCUCCCCAGCUGCUGCUCCUUCUGAGUCUCUCUCCUCCAGAAUGACACCACCAUCUGCCUGGCUGCCCGAGUGGGAAACACAGAUGCAUUGGGACUCUUCCUGUCUCUCUCGGCCACCACGCCAGAAGUGGCUUCUUCUGUGAUGUCUCCCGUUAGCUGUCUUCCCGCCAUCCCUGCUGCCACUCCCCCUCCCAACUCCCCACACCCCCACCCCGCCUUGUUGCAAGAGCCUCCUAGCUAUUCUUCCUAACUUGAUCCUCUCCCCUCAAAUCCUUUCUAACAUGCAAAUAUAUUAUGUCGUUUUCUAGCAUAAAGCUCUUCCAAAGGUUCCCCGUGAUCCCAGAGCUAAAGCCCAAGCACCAUGAGGCCAUUUACAAUCCAAACCUGUUAGGGUCCUUCCAUGUCCUCUCCCGCUUCCUUGACAUGUCUUUGCUAAGGGAGCUCCCGCUGAUGAAGUUCUUUCCUCUCCAGUCCACCAGCUACUCUUCUGAAUCCUUGGGUCUUCAGCUUGGCCGCUUCCUCCCUGGCAUCUUUCCUGCCCUCCAAGCCUGGCUUAGGUGGCCUUACUUCAUGCUUAGCCCCAGUUUAUCACUCAAGUUCUGUGGGUAAUGGUUUGUCUCCCCCCACAGUGGGUAGGUGCCUUGAGGUCAGGAUUGUCUUAUUCAUCAUGGCGUUCCCAGGCAUUAUAACCUAAAAACCAGAAUUUUACCCUCAUUCCCCGCUCCUCCACCAUCAUAUUACUUUAAACUGACCAAGAAUUCCUUCUUAAAACUGGGUAGGAUUUCCCCUCUUCCCCUGGCAUAAAGUAAGAACAUAAGAAUAAGACCCUUCGAUGCAAAAGACAA